rnacentral:rRNA from 1 species
UACGUAGGGUGCAAGCGUUAUUCGGAUUUACUGGGCGUAAAGCGCAUGUAGGUGGUUUAGUAAGUCUGAUGUGAAAUCCCUGGACUCAAUUCAGGAACUGCAUCGGAUACUGCUUUACUUGAGUACUGGAGGGGAGAACGGAAUUCCUGGUGUAGAGGUGAAAUUCGUAGAUAUCAGGAGGAACAACGGUGGCGAAAGCGGUUCUCUGGACAGUAACUGACACUCAGAUGCGACAGCGUGGGGAGCAAACAGG